AGCAGAACAUGCUCCAGCCGAUUCCCCUUACUGGAAGUGACCAGAGUAGGGGAUUUUUCACAGGUAGGGAAAUUUGGUGUCACAAGCGUCCAUAGCAAGGCUCUCUGCGUUCCGCAGCCAUGUGGUUGGCGGACGCCAUGUUGUGGUGGGCUACGUUUCCCACCAUCACUGCUGUCAGCUGACAUUGGUAUAAAACUAAGCCGAUAUAUAAAGAAAUCUGAGUCUUAGGUUAGAUUAGUGUGGAUACGAAAAGGCCGCAGCUUCCAAUAUAAACAUGGGGAUCUCACGUUCACUACUUAAGUAACGCUUCGUUAGGUAUAGGUGCCAGUAAACGGAUGAAAGGUCUUUUGAAAUUGGAACAAGGAUCUUGUUAGUAAAGAGACACUCUACCCUCUAGGACCACUACAACUUACAGUAGUGGUUCUGGUGCAAAGAGACUGUCCCUAAAUUCUCAACUAUACAAACACUAUUUUUCUUUGAGAAGAGGUAGUGUUUAAAGUGUGCUCCAUAGCCACCCCUAGUGACAGUUACUCAGACAGCCAGGAGAGGUCCUUCCAUUCUAUCCAUGAAGAUGACAAACACUCUCCAUAGCGAUGCAUUGAGCAUUGUCAGAGCACAGCGAAUGCUGCGCAUGUUAUAUUAAAAUGGCUGAGAUUGUCUAUUAUGAUGAUCUCAGCAUGGGAGGAGCGGCAACCGCUGCAAGAUCUGUACAAUGAGGGACUAAAGGUAUGUAAACGGUAUGGUGGGCAUAAUUUUUACUUGAAAUACACUUUGUUAGGAGUACAUAUACAAUCAUGACACCAUAACCACUACUAUUGACUACUUACAUGUUGAGGGCAGAGGACACUCCUGGCACAUCAUUACAGUGUGGAUAGUGGUUAUGGUACUUGGAAUGUGACUUUAACUGGGUCCUCACUAAUAUGUGAAUUGUUGAAAUUUAAAACCCAAAUAUCAAAAUUUAGGAAAAGAAUAGCAGACCUGAAAAAAAUCUCUAACUCAACAGCUUGGCUAUUUUUGCUUGUAUUUUCCAUUUGGUUUUGUGAUUAAUUCGCUAUUUAGACAUAUCAUAGCAGGUCUGGCUUCAUAUUUACCUACCUUCUUUAUCCACAGUGAAACAAACAUUUGUGGAUACUUUCAAAUAGAUCAACUAACCUAUACUUUUUGCACAUUUUUAGUGAAGGGAUCAUCAUUGGAAUUUAGAGAAUAUGUAGUUCUGGUCUGCUUUGGGUUUUUUCCCUCUUUUUUUUAGGUUUUCCAUUUUGAAACCUUGCCCCGCUUCCUGGUAAUGGGCCAAAUGGUUUCCCACUUCUCUGAGUCACCCAGCUGUGAAAGCUUGGUGCCUUUUUCAUUGCCAUUCGUUGGCAGAGAGUGCUAGUUGACAACUUUCAUGCAAUUAAUGCAAUUCCACGUCCCACUAUAAGCACAUCUAAUGAUAUGCUAAUGCUGUACUGUUCAAGGACAGUUCCCUGGUGUUCCCAGGUGCAUGUCAUUAGAUGUGCUUCUUUUUUCCAGUUCCUUUUAAAGCAGGUGUCCGGAUACGGCCUGAGCAUUGAGUGACACCUGAUGGGCGGCCGUCCAAUAGCGUGACCAGGCCCCUUUAAAAAAUUGCACCAGCGUGGGAGGGAAGAAAGACAGGCCACGAGAACAUUAGAGCCACGCCGACUCCCAUCAGCCACAGCCACCCUCCUGCAAAAAAAAGUAAGAAAAAUUAGCUGUGUGUAUGUGUAUGUAUGUCUAUCAGUAUGUUUCUAUCUGUGUGUAUGUCUGUCUGUAUUUCAGUAUGUAUGUAAGUAUGUGUUUGUAUGUAUGUCUGUCUGUGUGUAUGUAUUUCAGUAUGUAAAUGUGUAUGUGACUGUAGGUCUGUAUGUGUAUGUAUGUCUGUGUGUAUGUAUGUGUAUGUAUGUCAGUGUGUUUGUAUGUCAGUGUCUAUGUAUGUAAGUAUGUCUGUAUAUGUCAAUUUGUAUGUAUGUCUGUGUGUAUGUAUUUCAGUAUGUAUGUAUGUAUGUGUAUGUGUCUAUCUGUAUGUAUGUCUGUGUGUGUAUGUAUGUCAAUAUGUUUUGUAUGUUUUUUUAUGUAUGUCAGUAUGUCUGUGUGUGUGUCUGUAUGUAUGUGUUUUUGUAUGUAUGUCAGUAUCUGUAUGUCUGUAUGUAUAUAUGUCAGUAUGUGUGUGUGUGUCUGUAUGUAUGUGUAUGUAUUUCAGUAUGU